rnacentral:ncRNA from 1 species
CUCUGUUUCGCAAGACUCAGGGCAAAAGGAG